CUCUCCAUCUAACCGUGGAACCGCCCUGCUCGGGAGCCCACUCCCCUGGAGGGCCGAGGGCGUCUUAGGCCAGAACAUGAGGAGGCUGGAUAAAUGGGAAUCGUCUCUCUCCAGUCGCAGCAAAGAGAAUUUACUUGCGUAGGACCCUAGGCAUUUCCUACGGGAAAAGAAGUGAAGACACGCCCGAGCUAGGCUGCCCCGCCCGCUCUACAGAAGGGGUGGUGCUGUCCGUGACCCCUCCCAACCCUCUCCACCCCGGAAUGGCCUGGCCUGCACGAGGUUGCAUCUCCCCAGAAGACACCGAAACAAGGAUUUCAGUGCAAGUUGUUUCAUGGGAGACUUCAAGAAGCAUCAGGGUCGAUCCCAGCACUUUGGGAGGCCAAGGACAUCUUUCAAUGGCUCCUGGCCAACUGGCAGCAGAAUUUUACCUUCCUGUGCAUGAAUGACCUUGGAUAUUAUUCUUGGUGGCAUGACUGGACACCUGCAGCCUCUUGAUGUUUCCAGUCAAAAAGGUAUUUAAGAGCCAUUUGUCAGGCGGACCACUUGAGCCCACGAGUUUGAGGCCAGCCUGGGCAGCAUAGUGGCACGCUGUUUCUAAAAAACAAAACAAAACAAAAACAAAACAAACAAACAAACAAACAAAAAACGAAAGAAAGGAAGAAAGAAAGAGAAAAGAGCAGUAAUAUCUUCAUCACUGGUCAUUGGUCAUUGUCUUUAAAACAACUUUCCAUCGAUAUCUUCUGGGGAGAACAAGAGAGCACUAGUGUCAAAACUUCAACCAGCUUGGAAGAAAAUUCUGGAGAUAAGAGAGCAAUAAUUUUUUAGGUUGAAUCACAUAAGUUUGCCAUCUUUUGGUCAAAAACAGUCUAAUGAGCAAUUUCACUUGGUUCCACUUACAAGAAAAGUUCCAUCUCUAACACUCUUGAUGGGACUGUGUGCAGAAAUAAGGGCAUUGACAAGUCGGAAUUAAAACAUAAUCUAGAAGGGUUGCAUUCUGAAUAUAAAAAGUUUUAGGAAUAUUUAAACCAGUUUGUUUUACUUAUAUUUUCCUUCUUUAUACAUAUGACAAGAGUAAUAUUUUUUA
rnacentral:lncRNA from 1 species